GCCUCCUUUAAUUCUUCCUUCUUGUAGUAAAGUUCAAAUGGUAGGCUGGCUGCUAACUGGUUAGAUCUGAUAAACUGUGGCCAAUUUUUGGACACUGUGGAAAUUUAUAUGAUGUUAGGUCCUGGAGUUCUUUAAAUUUUAAUGUUAGAAUCUUUCUCUUUUCACUUUUGGUUAAAAGAGAAACCACUAAAAAUCAAUAGAAAAGGAUCCAGUUACAUUAAUGUCUUCUGUUCGGAGCAGCUUUUUCUUUAGUUAAGAAGAACUCAUUUUUCUAUUAGGAAAAACAAAGCAGAUACGGCUUCUUGUCAGAAAAAGAAUUCUCUUCCUUUCAUAUCUUGGUCUUUGAAUAUAACGUCUACUUACUCUAUUAACUCAGGUAGUAAGCUGACAAUCAGUUAAUUACCUGUAACUGCUUUUAUUUCAGAAGAUGGGGGGUGCACCUGGCUCUAGCUAAAGCAACAACAGGUUUUUCUGACUGUAGGCCAAGAGGGUACAAAUUUGCUUGAAUGAUGUUGAUGAUGCUGUGCCUACCUAUGGAAAACCUAUGAUUUUAAGGCUGGAAGAAGUUUAAGGACGAUGAUGGAAUGAGGGAGGCAUUCCACAGGAGGUGAUGGAAGAGGUAUCACUUCCUCUUCUGAUCAUAAAAAGGAUUGCUUCCUGUUCCUCUCUUGGGUGAACUGAUGGAUGAGGCAUGGAAGGACCAGGCAGCAAACAUUGAGCGCUCCACACUGCGCAGCAUGUGUGCAUUCUUCCCACAUCAAUCUGGUGUUAAGUGGAAUGGCAACUGUUGCUGUUGAGAACUACUGUAGCAAUGACCAGCGCCCUAGCUCCCUGCUUUACCAGCAAGCUAUUCUGCUUUCAGAAUAUGAAAUACAUUUGGUUUAAUGAGCAGGAAGACAGAAGAAAGUUGCUGAUUUGAGUUCUGUUGGUAAAUGGAAUUGAUUAUUUUUUCAUAGAACCAUUAUGAUUGGAAAAGACCUCUGAGAUCAUGGGGUCUAACCAUCCACUUACCAUCAAUAUUGUCCCCUAAACCAUGUCCCUAAGUACUAAUCUACCCUGUCCUUAAACACCUGCAGGGACAGUUACUUCACUACCUCCCUGGGCAGCCCAUUCCAGUGCCUUCCCACUCUUUCUGAGAAGAAAUGUUUCCUAAUAUGCAACAUUUUUGGAGCAGGCAUUAAAAUCGUUUCACU
rnacentral:lncRNA from 1 species